GUGGGGAAUCUUCCGCAAUGGACGAAAGUCUGACGGAGCAACGCCGCGUGAGUGAUGACGGCCUUCGGGUUGUAAAGCUCUGUGAUCGGGGACGAAUGGCUGGUGUGCUAAUACCACAUCAGAGUGACGGUACCCGAAUAGCAAGCCACGGCUAACUACGUGCCAGCAGCCGCGGUAAUACGUAGGUGGCAAGCGUUGUCCGGAAUUAUUGGGCGUAAAGCGCGCGCAGGCGGCUUCUUAAGUCCAUCUUAAAAGUGCGGGGCUUAACCCCGUGAUGGGAUGGAAACUGGGAGGCUGGAGUAUCGGAGAGGAAAGUGGAAUUCCUAGUGUAGCGGUGAAAUGCGUAGAUAUUAGGAAGAACACCAGUGGCGAAGGCGACUUUCUGGACGAAAACUGACGCUGAGGCGCGAAAGCCAGGGGAGCGAACGGGAUUAGAUACCCCGGUAGUCC
rnacentral:rRNA from 1 species